UUAGAGUUUGAUUCUGGCUCAGGAUGAACGCUAGCGGCAGGCUUAACACAUGCAAGUCGAGGGGCAGCGAGAGUGAUAGCAAUAUUACUUGUCGGCGACCGGCGCACGUGUGCGUAACGCGUAUGCAACCUACCAUCAACAGGGGGAUAACACUGAGAAAUCGGUACUAAUACCCCAUAAUAUCUCAUGCGGCAUCGCAUGGGGUUGAAAACUCCGGUGGUUGAUGAUGGGCAUGCGUUGUAUUAGCUGGUUGGUGAGGUAACGGCUCACCAAGGCGACGAUACAUAGGGGGACUGAGAGGUUAACCCCCCACAUUGGUACUGAGACACGGACCAAACUCCUACGGGAGGCAGCAGUGAGGAAUAUUGGUCAAUGGACGCAAGUCUGAACCAGCCAUGCCGCGUGCAGGAUGACGGCUCUAUGAGUUGUAAACUGCUUUUGUACGAGGGUAAACCCCGAUACGUGUAUCGGGUUGAAAGUAUCGUACGAAUAAGGAUCGGCUAACUCCGUGCCAGCAGCCGCGGUAAUACGGAGGAUCCGAGCGUUAUCCGGAUUUAUUGGGUUUAAAGGGUGCGUAGGCGGUUUGAUAAGUUAGAGGUGAAAUGUCGGGGCUCAACCCCGAAACUGCCUCUAAUACUGUUGGACUAGAGAAUAGUUGCGGUAGGCGGAAUGUAUGGUGUAGCGGUGAAAUGCUUAGAGAUCAUACAGAACACCGAUUGCGAAGGCAGCUUACCAAACUAUAUCCGACGUUGAGGCACGAAAGCGUGGGUAGCAAACAGGAUUAGAUACCCUGGUAGUCCACGCAGUAAACGAUGAUAACUCGUUGUCGGCGAUACACAGUCGGUGACUAAGCGAAAGCGAUAAGUUAUCCACCUGGGGAGUACGUUCGCAAGAAUGAAACUCAAAGGAAUUGACGGGGGCCCGCACAAGCGGAGGAACAUGUGGUUUAAUUCGAUGAUACGCGAGGAACCUUACCCGGGCUUGAAAGUUAGCGACGACGCUUGAAAGAGCGUUUCCCUUCGGGGCGCGAAACUAGGUGCUGCAUGGUUGUCGUCAGCUCGUGCCGUGAGGUGUCGGGUUAAGUCCCAUAACGAGCGCAACCCCUACUGUUAGUUGCCAUCAGGUGAUGCUGGGCACUCUAGCGGGACUGCCGGUGUAAGCCGAGAGGAAGGUGGGGAUGACGUCAAAUCAGCACGGCCCUUACGUCCGGGGCCACACACGUGUUACAAUGGUAGGUACAGAGGGCAGCUACCCUGCGAAGGGGUGCGAAUCUCGAAAGCCUAUCUCAGUUCGGAUUGUAGUCUGCAACCCGACUACAUGAAGCCGGAAUCGCUAGUAAUCGCGAAUCAGAAUGUCGCGGUGAAUACAUUCCCGGGUCUUGCACACACCGCCCGUCAAG
rnacentral:rRNA from 1 species